UUCUCUCCUAACCUCUCGCACUCCUCUCAACCCCGACCUACGCCCGACCGGCGGUCACCCCCACCCAUCCCCGACCGGCGUUACAGGUCGAGCCACCCAUCCCCGACCGACGCUGCAGGUCGCUCCACCUCGUUCAACAGCAACAUCAACAGCGCAGACCGGCGGCAGCAGCAGCGCGUGGCUGGCAGCUGCAAUCUCCGGCAACAGAGGGAGUAUACAUCUGGUGGUUUGGGCUUAACUCCAAGUUGCAAUAUUGGUGAGGGAGGUAUUGCUCUUGCUGAGGCCGUGCAAUCAGGGAGGUUCAGCUCCUGAUAUUGCCGUAAAGGGUUGAUUUUGCGGGCUAGGCAACUGAGGAAGCUCAACAUCUAAAAAAGUUGAUACAAGCUUCUUUCAUCAAAGUAGGAGAUAAGGUUAAUAAAGCAAUUUAAGAAUGAUAGCAGCUAUUUCAUGGGUUCCCAAAGGGGUUGCAAAGUCUGUACCAGCUGAGGCUGAUCCACCUACAAAGGAGGAAAUUGAACAGAUUUUGAAGAGUGGUCUUUUUGAUAAACGUGAAGAUAGUGAUGACGAGGAGGCUGAAGAAGAUAUGAAUGUUGAUGAAUCCGAGGAAAAUGAGGAUGAUGAAGUUGCUAUUGCAUUAGCUGCUGCUGAUGCACUUGGAAAGGCUACGCAAGUUUCUUCUGCAGGAACCGAUGACAUAAUAGAUGGUUUAAAGGAACUGGACAUGGACAACUAUGAUGAAGAGGAGGAGGGAAUUGAGCUUUUUGGUUCAGGACUCAAAGACUUGUACUAUGCAAGUAAUGACAUGGACCCAUAUCUCAAGGAUAAGGACAAUGACUCUGAAGAAGAUGAUGACAUGAUAAUAAGACCUGAUGAUUUUGUUAUAGUUUGUGCAAGCAAUGAGGAUGAUGUCAGUCAUCUUGAGAUAAUGAUUUUGGAAGAUCUAUCAGAUGCUGAAACAAACAUGUAUGUUCACCAUGCUCUUAUUAUACCUGCAUUUCCUCUUUGCACAGCAUGGCUUGAUUGCCCUAUUAAAGGCGGGGAGAGAGGUAACUUCAUAGCUGUGGGGUUCAAUGGAACCAGCAAUUGAAAUUUGGGACAUUGACAUAAUAGAUGAGGUGCAACCAUCUGUUAUUUUAGGUGGCAUCGCUGAUAUAAAGAGAAAGGGAAAAAAGAAAUCUAUCAAAUACAAAAAGGAUAGCCACAAGGAUGCAGUACUUGGUCUUUCUUGGAACAAGGAAUAUAGGAAUAUACUUGCUAGUGCUAGUGCUGAUCAUACCGUCAAGGUUUGGGAUGUGACUACCGAAGCCUGUAAUCUCACUAUGAAUGACCAUACCGACAAGGUUCAAGCAGUUGCAUGGAAUCCAUUUGCUCCACAGAUUCUUCUGAGCGGGUCAUUCGAUCAUACAGUUUGCUUGAAGGAUGGGAGGAAACCCUCUCACAGUGGAUUUAAGUUUUCAGUUGGUGCUGAUGUUGAAAGCUUGGCUUGGGAUCCGCAUUCGGAGCAUUCAUUUGUGGUCAGCUUGGAGAACGGUACCGUUACUAGUUUUGAUAUCCGUGCUGCUAGUUCUGCUUCGACUUCUGAGACAAAGCCAAGUUUCACCAUCCAUGCUCAUGAUAAAGCAGCGUCCUCGUUGUGCUUCAAUCCUCUAGUCCCAAAUCUUCUUGCAACUGGCUCCACGGACAAGAUGGUUAAAUUAUGGGGAUUUGACCAACAAUCAACCUUCUUGUAUCGCAUCUAGGAAUCCGAAAGCUGGAGCCGUCUUCACUGUAUCCUUCUCAGAUGAUUGCCCCUUUUUUCUUGCUAUUGGUGGCUCUAAAGGAAAGUUGCAGCUAUGGGAUAUUUCGUCUGAAGAUGCCGUGUUGAAGAAAUAUGGGAAAUACGUUGCACAGAAAAAGCAGUCGCCCAAAUCAUAAUGCAAAUGUAUUUAUGGAGAUAUUGGUUAUGAGUUCUAAAAGUGAAAAUAUAGCCCCCCCAUUAUUUACAUAUGAGCAUGGAAAAUUUUGCUGUUGCUGCACAUUGCCUGGACCAAGUGAAAGAGGAAAGUGAAGAGUUUGGUGGAAUCAAGAUAGCUGUGUGUAUUUUUUUCUGGACAUAACCAACACGAGUUCAUUGAACGUAUCGUAAUGGAGAUCAGGUAGAGUUAUCUUGUACUUGUGUUGGUUGAAGGUAUUAGAUUUUCGAUGAUGUAUUAGUUGACGUCUAGCUAGCUGUUUGAACACCAUCAUUAUCUAGAAAAAGAAAAUACAUUUAAGAUGUUGGUUGAUUUUUUUAUUUAUCAAAGUCUAGGGUAAAAUAUGAAUGUAGGACAAUCUGGUUCUAUUUUUACAUGGUUCCUUUUAGAGCCAAAUAUGAGGAAAUGCAUUACAUAUUGUUAAUUUUCA